rnacentral:rRNA from 1 species
GUCCCUAUCUGCCGUGGACGUUUGAGAUUUGAGAGGGGCUGCUCCUAGUACGAGAGGACCGGAGUGGACGAACCUCUGGUGUUCCGGUUGUCACGCCAGUGGCAUUGCCGGGUAGCUAAUGUUCGGAUAGAUAACCGCUGAAAGCAUCUAAGCGGGAAACUAGCCUCAAGAUGAGAUCUCACUGGGACCUUGAGUCCCCUGAAGGGCCGUCGAAGACUACGCGUUGAUAGGUCGGGUGUGUAAGCGCUGUGAGGCGUUGAGCUAACCGAUACUAAUUGCCCGUGAGGCUUGACCAUAUAACACCCAAACAAUU